ACCCUAUGACUAAAAUACACUGUUC
rnacentral:piRNA from 1 species